UUGCAUGUUCUCUCCAUGCUUGUGUGGGUUCCCUCCUGGUGCUCCGGCUUCCUCCUGCAUCCAAAGACAUGCAGGUUAGGUGAACUGGAAACUCUAUAAUUGCCAGGUCUCCCUUGUCAAACAGAUCUUGAUCUCAGUAGGACUAACCAGGUUAAAUAAAUAUUGAAAAGCCAAU